rnacentral:rRNA from 1 species
GACGAACGCUGGCGGCGUGCUUAACACAUGCAAGUCGAACGAAGUGGCGAACGGGUGAGUAACGCGUAAUCAACCUGCCCUUCCGAGGGGGACAACAGUUGGAAACGACUGCUAAUACCGCAUACUGAAGGAGGGGCUUGCGUCUGAUUAGCUAGUUGGAGGGGUAACGGACCACCAAGGCGAGGAGCAGUAGCCGGUCUGAGAGGAGGAACGGCCACAUUGUGACUGAGACACGGCCCAGACUCCUACGGGAGGCAGCAGUGGGGAAUCGUCCGCAAUGGACGAAAGUCUGACGGAGCAACGCCGCGUGAGUGAUGACGGCCUUCGGGUUGUAAAGCGCUGUUAAUCGGGACGCGGUACCGGAAUAGAAAGCCACGGCUAACUACGUGCCAGCAGCCGCGGUAAUAC